CGAAAGCGUAACGCUUGUGUUAAACUACAACACGUUGAGGCUGUUAUCACUAUCAGCAUAGUAUUGCAAAGUUUCAAUCAUUGAAUUGUGUGAUUGCAGUGAGCAUGGCGGCAUGAAUGAGUCCGUUCACGCAAACGUUUUCUUUUAUUCUCGAUUUCCUAACCUGUGUUACUAGUCCUGUUAUCCCCAACGUUGUUGCAACAAAGUAGUCAAAUCAAGAAAUAGUUUGGAACAGCUCAUGCACCACGAUCACAUUGGUGCAAGGAGUGGAGAUGAGGCAUGGAUCGUUUCACCCACAUUGGAUUUUUCAAUUUCCUUGCUAAAAAGAAUGUGUGCUACAAGAAGCUUUUGUUCUAAAUGGAUUCAUCAAGUCAACAUUAUCUCACCACUAAGCUACAAUGCCACAGAAGCAAGUCUUACACUUUUCAAGUAGGGUGUGACUGUUGAAGAUAUCUCUGCUUGUGAAGAAUGCAGCGAUGUAGAAAAAGUACUUAAAGAAGUGAACUCAAACAUUCAGUGACAGCAGCAUCUACCUACGUGAACUGCCUUGCACAACAUUUACCUGCAAUUAAAAGCCUACAUGGGAAUUGGCUUUGUUUAUGUUCCACAUCAAGCAGUGUUGAAGAAAAUCCAGUGAGAAGAACGUGAACAAUGGUGUUCAAUUUAAGUUAUUUUUGCCUAUGUGUUCAAUGUUCAACGGAGGAAAUAGAUGUUGUUUGUAAGGUUGAUGUUGACAGCAGCGGAGGUAUUUUCUGGCAUCAGUGAACUACCUGUCUUGUAGCUGCAUGUAGAAACCAUAACUAUCCUCAGAUGAUCCCUUAUUUGAUUCGAACCACAGCAAAAAAGCUUUCUGUCAAUGGAUUUUAAAAUCGUGAAGUGAUUGGCAUUCUUCCAGAAUUUCAUCAUAAAGCAGUGGAAUGUCUUGACAUUGCAAAAAGUCGUUGUCGAUCACUUCCUUUAUCCAUUCUGUUUCAAGUUUAUCCAAUUUUAAACAAUCUAAUUCUAAAGCUACGGUUUGUUGGAAAUAUUCCUGAUCGUCUAGUUUCUGAUGUCACUCACAUCCUCAGCUUCAUCAUCCUCUCACAUCUUUGACAACAACUCCAACUUUUUUGCCCAUUUUUAGUUCUGUGGCAUUAGAUUUAUGAUAACAAUGAUGGACUGUUUGCAGAAUAAACCAGAAUGUGGCUAAUGGGCCAGCCCAGGAUUCAGUCGAUGGUCGGGCCGACGACUGCGCCUUUGAGCUGAGUCUCUGCCAGCCCACUGGUGAAUAUUUCGAUGUCGUUGAUGAUUGUAGACGCUGGCCAGGAGGACGGUGUUGGUGGAUGAGAUGCGUCGCAACGAUCCCUAAUUCCCCUAAGUCACCCUGAAGACGUGCCAGUUUGCAUGUCCAUCCCGCUCGAAGGUCACGGAGAUCAGUACGCAAAAGUGUCAUGGAGUGGUGUAGAGGUUGGGUGAGAACGACACGUGUUGCAUCGUUUCGUUAUCUAGCGAGUACAUAGCCGCAAGCCAUAACCAUUUGGUAUUCAUUUUGAUAUUGGUUUUUGUAGACCCAUCCCCAGCAACGUCAACUUGCAGAAGGAAAGAACAUUUUCCUUUACGUUCGAAGGUCACGGAGAUCAUUACGAAAAAUGUGUCAUGUGGUGUAGAGGUUGGGUGAGAACGGGGCGUGUCGCAUCAUUAUCAAGCAAGUACAAUAGCCGCAAGGCUUAUGAGGGGAAUGGUGAGAAAAAUUCGUAUAAAAGGAGAGAGAAAAAGGCGAUAGAUAUCAGUCGGGUGAGGAUAUCCGACACGGCAACAAGUGCAGUGCACUCUCUGUGACCAACUGCCUUCUUCAUCGAGUUACCGUUAACUAUGGCGUCGUGCUGCUGUUGGGUGUUGUAUUGUUGAUGGCUGGGUUCACCACUGGUGUACCGAUGUCUCCUGGGUAUGGCGGAUACCAAACCGCAACGCCGCCGCCUCCUACACAACAUACGCAACAACCGGUACACCACCAAGGCUCCAGAACAACUUAUAAUGCCCCGAGCUACACCAUCAAAGAGCCGGAGUUCAACACCGAGGCUCCCAAGUACUACACCACUAAGGCACCGGAAUACUGCACGACUACGUAUGCUGCCCCUGCCUACUACACCGAGGCCCCUAAUUACUACAACACUGAAGCACCCAAGUACUACACUACAACCUAGGCUGUCCUAAGCUACUACACCAACGCCCCGAAGUACUACUAUGCGUAUAAGGAGUCGUUUAAAAAAGAAAUUAUAGAAAAGGAGAGAGAAAAGGUGGUAGAAAUCAGUCAACUGAGGAUCUCCGACACGGCAACAACUGCAUUACCCUAUCACUGCAUUCCUCAUCGUGUAACCAAUUUGCAAUCAUGGGUACAAUUGCCGUAAGGCUCGAGUUGAAAGGAGAAUCAAGAGAAGGAAAAUCAUAUUAAACGAGAGAGAAAGGGGGAUAGAAAUCAGUCAAAUGAGCAUCUCCGACACGGCAACAAUUGCAGGGUACUAUUUGUCAACAACUGCAUUCCUCAUCGUGUAACCAAAUCGCAGUCAUGGGGAAAUAUCCUGUUUUUUGCAUUGAGUUUUUUAACUAUAGCGUCGUGCUGCUGUUGGGGCGUUGUAUGGCUGGGUCGACCACUGGUGUACCGAUGUCUCCUGGGUAUAGCGGAUACCAAACCGCAACGCCGCCGCCUAACUACACAACAACAACUUUAACGACCAGUUACUACACCGAGGCCCUCAAGUUCUACACCACUAAGGCACCGGAGUAUGAUACCAUAACUUACGCUUCCCUGAGCUACUACACCGAUGCCCCGAAUUAUUACUCUGCUUCGAGCUUCACCACCAAGGCAGCGGAGUACUACAAGACUACGUAUGCUGCCCUAUCUUACUACACCGAGGCUCCCAAGUACUACUGUGAUACCAGCUACUACACCGAGGCUCCAGCUACCACACCGAGGCUCCAGCUACUACACCGAGGCUCCAGCUACUACACCGAGGCUCCAGCUACUACACUACUACACCGAGGCUCCAGCUAAUUUCUCGACCCAAACGGUCGAAUACUGCAUCGAAGUGCCCAAAUAUUACUCUGCCCCGAUCUAAACAGCCACAACUGAGACGGUCAAGCAUUACGCAGCCCAAACUUACUACACAGGUGCUCCUUCCUUCUACGGUGAACAGAAAUACUACACUGAUGCUCCACUUAACUACACCCCAACCUAUGCUACAUCUACGAACAAUACCGAAGCCCCCACGUACUACACAGAAGAAGCAUCAUAUUACACAACCACGUACGCUGUCCCAGUUUAGUUCACAGAGGAACCCAGGUAUUACUCUACUCCAAGCUACUACCAAACUAAGGCUCAUAAGUAUUACACCAGCAACGCUCCCGAGUAUUACACCGCUACCUACGCUGCUCCGACCUAUACUCCGAAGUUGCAAAGUAUUCCUCUGCCCUAAGAUGUUUCUAGUUUGGAGGUAACUACUUCUCUAGUCGCUCUUCAUACGGACAUAUCCUGGUCUUUGGACGAAAUUCUUUUUCGGGGAUGGCGUAACAAAGUAGUUAGCAGACAUUGAUUUUGGCCCCUUCACAGAAAUUUAUUGAAAGAGAGAUGUCUUUACAAGUAAUAGCCAAGCGUCUUAAUGCAUGAAUGUAAAACUUCAAAGUCAGAUAAAUAUACUGUUUUAUUUGCUGAA